CAGCCGCCGCGGGAAUACAGAGGGUGCGAGCGUUAAUCGGAUUUACUGGGCGUAAAGCGUGCGUAGGCGGCUAAUUGAGUCGGAUGUGAAAUCCCCGAGCUUAACUUGGGAAUUGCAUUCGAUACUGGGAAGCUAGAGUAUGGGAGAGGAUGGUAGAAUUCCAGGUGUAGCGGUGAAAUGCGUAGAGAUCUGGAGGAAUACCGAUGGCGAAGGCAGCCAUCUGGCCUAAUACUGACGCUGAGGUACGAAAGCAUGGGGAGCAAACAGGAUUAGAUACCCCUGUAGUCCCUGUCUCUUAUAC
rnacentral:rRNA from 1 species